CCUACGGGAGGCAGCAGUAGGGAAUCUUCGGCAAUGGGGGCAACCCUGACCGAGCAACGCCGCGUGAGUGAAGAAGGUUUUCGGAUCGUAAAACUCUGUUGUUAGAGAAGAACGUUAAGUAGAGUGGAAAGUUACUUAAGUGACGGUAUCUAACCAGAAAGGGACGGCUAACUACGUGCCAGCAGCCGCGGUAAUACGUAGGUCCCAAGCGUUGUCCGGAUUUAUUGGAGGUAAAGCGAGCGCAGGUGGUUUCUGAGGGCUGAGGUAAAAGGCAGUGGCUCAACCAUUGUGUGCAUUGGAAGCUGGGGGACUUGAGUGCAGUAGAGGAGCUUAGAAUUCCACGUGUAGCGGUGAAAUGCGUAGAUAUAUGGAGGAACACCGGAGGCGAAAGCGGCUCUCUGGCCUGUAACUGACACUGAGGCUCGAAAGCGUGGGGGGCAAACAGGAUUAGAUACCCGAGUAGUC
rnacentral:rRNA from 1 species